AGAGUGGGUCGGGCAGUCGCCCCUGCUGCUUCGUUUUUGCGAAGCAAAACGGCGGGGGAGGAAAGUCCGAGCAGGACAGGGCAACGGUGGUGGCUAACGGCCACCGGCCCGCCUCCGGCGGGUCAGGGAAAGUGCCACAGAAAAUACACAGCCUAUGGUCCGCCUUCAGCGGAAACAGGCAAUGGUGAAAUGGUGCGGCAAGAGCGCACCGCGGAGCCGGUGACGGUUUCGGCAGGGUAAACCCCACCGCCUGCAAGACCAAGUAGCUGGAUACUCGGCCCGAGUGUGAAUUCGCCAUUGGCGGAUUCGACCAGCGGGUAGGUUGCUUCUCGAUUCUUCGGGAGAGCCAAUUGGUAACAGUUGGUCAAGAUAAAUGGCUGCCGCCUGUCUCUUCAGACAGGGCACAGAACUCGGCUUACAGACCCGCUCUUUUG
rnacentral:RNase_P_RNA from 2 species